AGGCGUGUGCCUGCUAAGUACAUGGGGUUUCCCCGCGAGAGUUCGAAUCUCUCAGGCGACGAGCAAUAGUUUUUUCUGAAAAUACUUUUCUCUCUUUUUUAACGAAUUGGAAGGAAGUUUGAUCUCGGCCCGUUCAACUCUUGCCGCUGCUGCAAAAAACCUUGACUAAACGCGGCGUUCUUUUCGCAACUCAUUGUGCGCGGCUCCCAAAGACAUGCUGCUAUGUUCUCCGAGCUUCAACCUCUCGCAUGUUUUCACCUUGUGCAACGACACCACCACCUCCACUCCAACGCCGCAAUUUGGACACGACCUCGCCCUCCGGUCUCGGCUUUUCGGAUGCUUGCGGAAAAUCCUUUUUUGGAGUCCGUGAAUCAUCCGCCAAAGUUGGUCGCUUUGUAUAGACGACAACGUCAUUCGCCGGUCAAGAGCCACGGGUUUAGUCUCCGAUGCGUAGGGUCGGAGUCCGUUAAAUUUAUGUCUCCGGUUCUGGAGAUAGGCGGAAUGGUGAUUUGAAAGAGGAGUUCAGAGUUUUGAAGAGUUGUUACGCGGAAGAUAUUGAUGGCGGCGCAGGAGAUGGGAUGGUAGAGGCGGUGGUAGUUUUGGGGGAGAUUUUUUUGGAAAUGGUGGUGAUGGGAAAGAGGUGGGCGGUGGUGAUAGAGAGAAGGAGAAGGAAUUCGGGCCUAUAUUGAGGCUCGAGGGGCUGAGCUUCCUCCUGAUAUGUUGGAUGCCGCCAAGACCGCAGGGGAUUUGGCAACUGCUUCUUCAGCGGUACCUGGAUUUGCAGGUGCAUGUGCAUCUGCAAAUGAAACAAAGAGUCUGGGAUUUUGAUCAAGGCUCUGUUUGGUUGCCGAGAAAAUUGGCAGACCGAAUGCAGAAAACAAAAAAUGGGUCGGGCUGGCCACUGGGCUUUUUGGUGAAGUAUUGCUCUCUGAUGCUUCGUAACCGAAUGCUGGCUGAUCCUUCUUUUUUAAGUUUUGUAUCUUAGAUGAAAGGUGUGGUGCAAAAGAUUUGGAUGAUUGACAGCUGGAGAAUUUCUUAAAAGGAAGGAAUGGUGGUAGUGUGGCUGAAAAAGAACUUACAGGAGUAUAAAGAAAUCAGAAAAGCAUAUACCUGUGCCUUUUGUGAAACGUGCUGUUUUUUGGGGUACGUCUUUUCCUUUUUCCUCGUGACUAUGGGGUUGUACUAGCAUGGUCAAGUACCUGACAACUUUUUUCGGUAGUCUAUGUGCUCCUGUGAAUGGCUCUCUGUUUCUCCUGAGAAUGAAAAUCAUGGUUUUUCCUUUUGCCUUUUGCUCUUCCUCUGAAUUAACUUCUUUGUCAUUGCUAGCUGAAGAGAACAUAGACACAACCCUCGUCUCAUCUUCAGAAGUUGUAUCUUUGGAGUAAUUUCUUCACAGAAUAUAUUGAAUCCAGAUAUGCAGAAUAUUGGUUCUCGGGAUUAUUCUUACUAGCGUAUCUAACAUGGGCAUGCCUCCAGUUCUUACCGCCUCAACUUUUUAAAAAAUGAAUGGCCAUGAUUUUUAAGUGCGACCCCCAUUUUUGGGAGGAUAAUAAAUUGCUUUUAUUUCCUCAAAUCACUUAUAGCAUGCUCUCCUUUCCAGGUUCCACCUAUUGCAAUGGCUUACAGUUUAUAGAUUGGGCUCAUCUAGAUUGCAUAAAAUGCUUUAGAACUAUCAAAUUAUGGGCGGGUUCUUCAAGUUUGGGCAUUAGUCCUGACUAGAAGCUUGGUAUAGGAUGUUAUGGAUGCACACUGGGAAUAAGAAGUUCAUUGUUUGAUCAUUGUAUAAGGGUUUGACUUAUCUGAGUCAGAUUCAUUUUCCUUGAAAGUGCAUAUGGAGUAAGGUGCCUUCCAAAGUUGCCUUUUUGGGUCGGACAACAUUUCUUGGGAAGUUCUUGACCAUGGACAACUCAAGGGGCGAUGAAAUGUGAUCUUUAUAGUAAGAGCGGACUUGCAUGAGUGAUGCCUCGAGGGUUGCGGAUCUUUUUGCCCAUUGGAAAGGCUUUCCGGGCAACCUACAUUUUGCGGCUACAGGGAGAAUGAUUCCUUUAAGCCCUCAUGCGGUGCAUUUGUCUUGAAAGGAAUAAUCAGAGCUUUGACUAUGGGUAGCGCUCUUUUGAUGAGCUUAGAAGUUUCCUUGUUCAUAUCUUAUAAAAAAAAUUAUUUUAGUCUGGUUUUGCAUGUUAA